rnacentral:rRNA from 1 species
UACAGGGGGUGCGAGCGUUGUCCGGAAUCACUGGGCGUAAAGGGCGCGUAGGCGGCCUGAUAAGUAGGGGGUGAAAUCCUGUGGCUUAACUGCAGGGCUGCCUCCUAGACUGUUAGGCUCGAGCACGGUAGAGGCAGAUGGAAUUCCCGGUGUAGCGGUGGAAUGCGUAGAGAUCGGGAAGAACAUCGGUGGCGAAGGCGGUCUGCUGGGCCGUUGCUGACGCUGAGGCGCGACAGCGUGGGGAGCAAACAGG